rnacentral:rRNA from 1 species
AUUUUGGACAAUGGGGGAAACCCUGAUCCAGCCAUCCCGCGUGUAUGAUGAAGGCNUUNNGGUUGNANAGUACUUUUGGCAGANNNNNAAAGGUAUCUCCUAAUACGAGAUACUGCUGACGGUAUCUGCAGAAUAAGCACCGGCUAACUACGUCCCAGCAGCCGCGGUAAUACGUAGGGUGCAAGCGUUAAUCGGAAUUACUGGGCGUAAAGAGUGUGUAGGCGGUUCGGAAAGAAAUAUGUGAAAUACAAGGGCUCAACCUUGGAACUACAUUUUUAACAGCCGAGCUAGAGUAUGUCAGAGGGGGGUAGAAUUCCACGUGUAGAAGUGAAAUGCGUAGAUAUGUGGAGGAAUACCGAUGGCGAAGGCAGCCCCCUGGGAUAAUACUGACGCUCAGACACGAAAGCGUGGGGAGCAAAC